AGUUAUAGGGAGGGACUUAUGUCACCACAAACAGAAACUAAAGCAGGUGUUGGAUUUAAAGCUGGUGUUAAAGAUUAUAAAUUGACUUACUACACCCUAGAGUAUGAAACUAAGGAUACUGAUAUCUUGGCAGCAUUCCGAGUAAGUCCUCAGCCUGGGGUUCCGCCCGAAGAAGCAGGGGCUGCAGUAGCUGCCGAAUCUUCUACUGGUACAUGGACAACUGUUUGGACUGAUGGACUUACCAGUCUUGAUCGUUACAAAGGACGAUGCUGUCACAUCGAGCCUGUUGCUGGGGAAGACAACCCGUAA
rnacentral:rRNA from 1 species